GUUUGCUUUUCUAAAUGUGACCAACAAUUAAAGGGAAAAAAAAGUAGAAAUGAGUGGAACCUGGAGGCAGCGACGCCCCCGGAUCACCAUGGAAACGCUCCAGGACAUGACGCAAUUAAACACAAAGUGCCCGAGGAGGUGGCUAGGGAUGAUGCCGACUCAUUCGUUGCCGUGUUAAUGGAGGUUGGAAACUUCCUUCAGCUUCCUCCAGAUCCCUGGACCCUCAACAUCCCCCCUCUGUCCUGCCAGACCCAACAUCUUCCAGAACCCAGACGGAGCUUCUGGUUCGGUUCUUCCCUCAGCUCCAAAUACCUGCCUGUCAAACUCUGCUUUAACCUCAAUCAUCAGCUGCUGCCUCUGGUUCACUAGUGCAGCCCAGAACAGUAAUUUGUGCUCUCAAAUGAAGAAUUUAUGACAUCAA